GUGGGGAAUCUUCCGCAAUGGACGAAAGUCUGACGGAGCAACGCCGCGUGAGUGAUGAAGGUCUUCGGAUUGUAAAGCUCUGUUAAUCGGGACGAAAGAGCCUAGUGUGAAUAAUGCUAGGAAGUGACGGUACCGGAAUAGAAAGCAACGGCUAACUACGUGCCAGCAGCCGCGGUAAUACGUAGGUGGCAAGCGUUGUCCGGAAUUAUUGGGCGUAAAGCGCGCGCAGGCGGAUCUGCCAGUCUGUCUUAAAAGUUCGGGGCUUAACCCCGUGAUGGGAUGGAAACUACAGAUCUAGAGUAUCGGAGAGGAAAGUGGAAUUCCUAGUGUAGCGGUGAAAUGCGUAGAUAUUAGGAAGAACACCAGUGGCGAAGGCGACUUUCUGGACGAAAACUGACGCUGAGGCGCGAAAGCCAGGGGAGCGAACGGGAUUAGAAACCCCAGUAGUCC
rnacentral:rRNA from 1 species